GGGAGGGUUGAGAUCUCAUAAACAUGUUUAACUCUGCUGCAAUUUUGCGCCUGUCCCAAGUCAGGAGCCUCUGGCCUUUGUUAGUCUUGUAUGAUUUUUAAUUUUAGUUUCUUGUGUAUUAUUCCGAGUUUAGUAUGACGUCCAUUAUCACUGUACUAGUAUACAUAUUUUUUAAGGAGAUAGCAGAAGGACGCCUAUGGGUGCGGGAGUUUCUCGCUACAUUGAAGACCCAUUGGUGGCCUUCAGCUGUUUUCUGCUCUAUGGUCGGGUUGUUGUUGCUUUAACACAUUCCCCAUUUCCUUUCUCAAUUUUAUUGAUUGUCAUGAUCAACAUGUUUGGCACUGCUUAUGGUAUAGUAAAUAUACUCAUGUUCCCCCAAAGUUUUAUAUUGUGGGUUUAUUUUAAUCUUUUUUUUUUCGUUUUAUGAUUUAUUAGGGAUUAUUGGACUUAAACUCUUCUUUUUUC
rnacentral:lncRNA from 1 species